AGUAAAUAGAUACCCUGGUAGUCCAUGCCGUAAACGAUGAUUGCUAGGUGUGGGGGGUCUGACCCCUUCCGUGCCGGAGUUAAACACAAAUAAGCAAUCCACCUGGGGAGUACGGCCGCAAGGUUGAAACUCAAAGGAAUUGACGGGGGCCCGCACAAGCAGUGGAGUAUGUGGUUUAAUUCGAAGCAACGCGAAGAACCUUACCAGGUCUUGACAUCCACCGAAUCCUGUAGAGAUACGGGAGUGCCCUUCGGGGAACGGUGAGACAGGUGGUGCAUGGUUGUCGUCAGCCCGUGUCGUGAGAUGUUGGGUUAAGUCCCGCAACGAGCGCAACCCUUGUGAAUAGUUGCUACGAAAGAGCACUCUAUUCAGACCGCCGUUGACAAAACGGAGGAAGGUGGGGAUGACGUCAAAUCAUCAUGCCCCUUAUGACCUGGGCUACACACGUACUACAAUGGCCGUUAACAGAGGGAUGCAAUGCCGCGAGGUGGAGCGAACCCCUAAAACCGGUACUCAGUUCAGAUUGCAGGCUGAAACUCGCCU
rnacentral:rRNA from 1 species